UACGUAGGGUGCGAGCGUUAAUCGGAAUUACUGGGCGUAAAGCGUGCGCAGGCGGUUCGUUGUGUCCGAUGUGAAAGCCCCGGGCUUAACCUGGGAAUGGCAUUGGAAACUGGCGGGCUUGAGUGCGGCAGAGGGGGGUGGAAUUCCGCGUGUAGCAGUGAAAUGCGUAGAGAUGCGGAGGAACACCGAUGGCGAAGGCAGCCCCCUGGGUCGACACUGACGCUCAGGCACGAAAGCGUGGGGAGCAAACAGGG
rnacentral:rRNA from 1 species